UACAGAGGUCUCAAGCGUUGUUCGGAAUCACUGGGCGUAAAGGGUGCGUAGGUGGCGUGGCAAGUCAGAUGUGAAAGCCCGGGGCUCAACCUCGGAAUUGCAUCCGAUACUGCCAUGCUGGAGUACUGAAGAGGUGACUAGAAUUCUCGGUGUAGCAGUGAAAUGCGUGGAUAUCGAGAGGAAUACCAAAGGCGAAGGCAGGUCACUGGGCAGUUACUGACACUGAGGCACGAAGGCCAGGGGAGCAAACGGG
rnacentral:rRNA from 1 species